rnacentral:snoRNA from 1 species
CGUGGUGUAUGUGUGGUGUUUCACACCUUCGCUACGCUUGGUGUUCACACCACCCACCGCUAACGCUUACACCACUCGGUCUUGCUACGCAAGACUU